CGCCCGUGGCAGCGCCCCGCGCCCCCCGUUACCCCAUUUUUGUUGCUCCCCGAAGGUCCAAUAUUUUCUGUUUGUUGAGACCCAAUUGUGUGCAUGAAUUCUGCUAAUGAAGGGGACGUCAACUCAACUGCAUGAGAAUGUCCCACGUGAAGCUUGGCAUUUAUACUUGGGACUUGAGAUAGUGGGCCGCACCAUCAGACCUGGUUGGUCAUCACAUGGGCCGGUAGGCCUUCAAGGCACACGGGCGUCUCGUGAAGUGCCCAGUGGGACUGAUUGUGCGUGGUGCAUGUGGAGCGCACUAAAGCAGGCUGCACAUGGGGCGGUGACCAAGGGCUGCGUGCAUGGAGCUUCAGCCAUGCAUCCAAGAGACUUGGAGAGGGACAACCUGCCUUGUGAAUUGGGAUAUAUAGUUUUGAUCGCAAACCUAAUUUUAUUUAGGCUUCAUAUGUGUAAUAAUAUGCUAUGACAAUCUCACGCAUCAAUUAGAAUUCAUCACCAAUUUUACAAGGAAGAAGCCAAAAAUCCCAUAGUUGGAUAUCUCUUGGCACAAAUGAAUAGACCCACAGGAAUGAAUUAAUAUCAUUAUCUGAUUGCUUAGAUGCAAGUCACACCUUUACAAUUCGGGUUAAGGCAGAGGCACGAUAUGAUCAGCUUUACAAAAAUUAUUGAGCCAUAUGCAAUUGUAAAUACUAAAUAUUAUAUCAUGAUGUUGUUACAUACAUUGAAUUAAUUUUGCUUAAAAAAAUUGAUAUAUUAAAGUAAUUUUCGCCAACAACCUAUCUCAUUAAUAUCAUUAUCUGAUUGCUUAGAUGCAAGUCACACCUUUACAAUUUGGGUUAAGGCGGCAGAGAGCACGAUAUCACCUUUACAAAAAUUGAACCAUAUGCAAGUGUAAAUACAUUAUAUUAUAUCAUGAUGUUACAUGAAAUUAAUUUUUCUUAAAAAAAAUUGAUAUAUUAAAGUAAUUUUGGCCAACAAGCUCAAAAGCUCAAAGGAAAUAUGUGGAGAAGCAAGUUAAGCUCGGAAAAAUAUAUAAAGAUAUGGUACCGGUGAGAGUUGAACCCAAGAUGCAAAAGACAUAUCAAUGAUGCAUUGCCACUCCAUCCACUUUCUUUUCUUAUGCAAUUCAUGGUUUUUAAUUGAUUAUAUACAUUAACUAAAAUAAUAUGAAAUGAAGUACUAAUAAAUACUCAUAUCUAUUGUUUCUCAUCAAGGGAACAUACCCUCAAAUGGAAAUCUUUCAAAAGAAUUUCUACCAUUAAAAAAUUAGGGUUAGAAAUUAAGAUAUCUCAAAAAAAUGUAAAAAUUGAGUAAAAAUAAAAUGUUUUUGGGGUCGAAAUUUGCCUAAACCGCCUUCGGCAGUUUCCCUACGCGUAGAGCUCGAAAAAUUACAUGGAAUCAAAAAAAAAAUCACCUCAAUCGGACAUCGGAUGAGGAAGUUAUCCCCUUUCAAAGUUUUUAAUCCAUGCCAUUGCCACAAGACCGGGCCUAGUGUUGGCGCGCGCCUAGGAAAACGUCAUCGUUUUGUUGACAGCCCAAUCCAUCGAUUUUUUUUUCAAUUUGGGGCUUUAAGAUUGUUCUCACUCUCGUUCUCCCUCCCUACCUGAUUCUCUAUUCGAGAUUGGUCAUAAACCCUCGCCACAGCAGAGAAAAGAAAACGCAAUCCCUCUCUCUCUCUCUCUCUCUCUCUCUAACGCAAUCCAUGGAUCUCCUUGGUCUGGGCAGCGUUGUUGUGGGUAAUAUCUGGUGAUUUAGUACAUUGUAUAUUCAGCGUUGCUUUCCCUUGGGCUAGUGUUUGUGAAAAUCGUGCAAAACAAGUUGGUGCAUAAACAUGCGGGCUCAAAGUUACAACUGAGAUUACAGGAAAAGCAAGGUAGUUUAAUUAAAAGCAAGCCUUCAGCCCUGCUCCAUCUACUGUGGGUCACUUAUCAGGAGGCCUUUGGCUGUCGGCCCUGCUACUUUUGAAAUGGUCGCAAAACAAUUUAUUUUUGAAGCUAUUGAUGACGCCAUCGAAGGUAGAUUACACCUUUCAUAAAUAUGUUCAAGGUGUUACUCUUUGGCCUUUCUCAUCUCAAGAUUCAAAAAAAAGCCUGUGAUAAAUUUGACCCAACUUUUAUCCCCGGUUCAAAAAGUGGUGUGAUGACUAUUUCUAUAUUAAGCAUCAAGGCGAGAGGUGGGGACUUGGAGGAAUAUUUUUUGAUGAUCUGAAUGAAUAUAUUGAUCAAGAUAUGCUUCUUUCCUUUGCCGCUGGUAAUAAUUUAUCAAGAAUUUAUUUUUCUUUUUCAAGUUCUAGCGGUUCAAGGAUCUCCCUGUGCAAACUUUUUGCUAGAUUGCAGAGUGUGCAAAUUCUGUGGUACCUGCUUACAUUCCCAUUAUAGAAAAAAGAAAGGAUAUGCGAUUCACUGGUCACCAUAAAGCAUGGCAACAGUUUAUGAUCGGGGCACAACAUUUGGGCUGAAGACGGGGUCGAAUUGAAAGUAUUCUUGUUUCUCUGCCACUAACUGCACCAUGGGAAUAUGACCAUGCAAGUUUCCAAGAUCAUUCUGCAUAAUAAUGCCAUAUGUAAGAUUAAGGAGUGGAAAAUUAUGAGCUGAUGGUGAUAAAUUGGUUUACUCUUUGGU